rnacentral:tRNA from 1 species
GGUUCGAUGGCGUAGUUGGUUAUCGCAUCUGUCUAACAACAUCUGGUUGUUCACAGAAGGUCCUCAGUUCGAACCUGGGUCGAAUCA